UAUUGUUGCCCAAGAGGAUUAUUUUGAAGGUGGUUGUGCGUCGGUAUUUUAAAACUUCAUGGUAAGGACUUUUAUGCCAAGUCCCCAAACUUUUGGAUCCUACUACGUAUAUAUAAUUUUUAUAUAUAACAGAAAUCUAGUUCAUAAUUUUAUUUAUAAUUCUUUCAAAGGUGUUUUUCAGAAAGUUUUUAAAAAUGUUUUUCAAAUCUGUAAGGAAGGCAUGGUGUUUGACACACUCGCUUUCCUCUUUGCUAAAAUAAUAUUCAUUAAUGUUUUUUUUUUAUAAUUUACACAGUUUUAAUUCAG
rnacentral:lncRNA from 1 species